CCCCUCUCAGGGUCGCUCCUGGAGAGUUCCCAAUACUCUACCAGUCUCGACUACUGGAGGGAGAGUCAGGCAGAGGCCUACCCAUUCUAUUCCUAGCUUGGCCAGUGGCUAGCGAGUGGAAGGCCAUCUGCUGCAAGU